CCUACGGGUGGCAGCAGUGAGGAAUAUUGGUCAAUGGGCGAGAGCCUGAAGCAGCCAAGCCGCGUGAAGGAUGACGGUUCUAGGGGUUGUAAACCUCUUUGGUCAGGGAGCAAUUGAGUCCACGUGUGGUAUAAGCGAGAGUAACUGCAGAACAAGCAUCGGCUAACUCCGUGCCAGCAGCCGCGGUACUACGGAGGAUGCGAGCGUUAUCCGGAUUUAUUGGGUGUAAAGGGUGAGUAGGCGGAAUAUCAAGUCAGCGGUAAAAAUUAGGGGUUAAACACCGUCGUGCCGUUGAAACUGAUAUUCGUGAGUAUGCGAGAGGUAUGUGGAAUGCGUGGUGUAGGGGUAAAAUGCGUAGAGAUCAAGAAGAAUACUGAUUGCGAAGGCAGCAUGCCGGAGCCUAACUGACGCUGAAGCGCGAAAGCGUGGGGAUCGAACAGGAUUAGAUACCCGAGUAGUC
rnacentral:rRNA from 1 species